CUUCUACUCCCUCCGUUCGGAAUUACUUGUCGCAGAAAUGGAUGUAUCUAGACGUAUUUUAGUUCUAGAUACAUCCAUUUCCGAGACAAGUAAUUCCGAACGGAGGGAGUAGGAG
rnacentral:pre_miRNA from 1 species